UACGAAGGGAGCUAGCGUUGUUCGGAAUCACUGGGCGUAAAGCGCACGUAGGCGGAUGUGUCAGUCAGGGGUGAAAUCCCGGAGCUCAACUUCGGAACUGCCUUUGAUACAGCACGUCUUGAGUCCGAUAGAGGUGGGUGGAAUUCCUAGUGUAGAGGUGAAAUUCGUAGAUAUUAGGAAGAACACCGGUGGCGAAGGCGGCCCACUGGAUCGGUACUGACGCUGAUGCGCGAAAGCUAGGGGAGCAAACGGG
rnacentral:rRNA from 1 species